CUGGUGUACAAUCUGUUAUGUUCUUAAGUAACUUGUAUUUGUAUGUUUAUACUGCUUAUGUACAAUCUGUUAUGUUCUGAAGUAACUUGUGGUUGUGUGUUUUAUACUGCUAAUGAACAAUCUGUUAUGUUCUGAAGUAACUUGUAGUUGUGUGUUUUAUACUGCUAAUGUACAAUCUGUUAUGUUCUGAAGUAACUUAUAGUCAUGUGUUUUAUACUGCUAAUGUACAAUCUGUUAUGUUCUGAAGUAACUUGUAGUUAUGUGUUUUAUACUGCUAAUGUACAAUCUGUUAUGUUCUGAAGUAACUUGCAGUUAUGUGUUUUAUACUGCUAAUGUACAAUCUGUUAUGUU
rnacentral:lncRNA from 1 species